UUUCUGUCACACAUUUUCCCUAAAACCAGCUCUGUAAAGGUCUCUAGCCACAUGGUUUGAAGCCUCAACGGUUUAAUGUUUGGCAUCUUGCCUUUUUGAUUCAAGGAAAUGAGAGACUGACAGGUUUAUGCUCUCAGCCAAUUGCAAAGCUGCUCCCUUCUCUGUCCCACCUACCACUUCCUUUCAUCUUUCUCUCUUUCAGCAUCACUGUGCUUCCUGCACGUUCCCUGUUCCUGUGCUCCCAGACCAGCGUGCUUGGGCACUCAGGAAGUGUGCUGCAGAGCUCGGAAGCUGAGGCAGGAGUUCUGAUGCUUCAUUCUGCCCUUUGCUCCAGCAGAUUCCCUUCCAGAGCUCUACUAGUGGUUGGGUACUUCAUAACCUGUGAGUGAUCCCAGACUGCAACUUUUACCUGAUCUGUAGCACCUACCACGAUAAAGAGAGCCAACAACUUUUAUGCAGGCUGAAAAUGGAAUUGAUGAGCUGGGAGGAAACAGUUGCUUUGGAGAAAUGUCACGUUCCAGAUAUGAGACUCAGUGAGCUGAUUGUGGAGAGGCUGAGGAUGAAGACUGACUCCCCACCCCCAUGAAAUGAUCGGGGCUGAAGUGGAAAAAUUAAGUACUGUAACUGAAUCUUGAAAAUGGUCUGUAAUGAAAUAUCCUGGACCUGAGCCCCAAGGACUGUAGGGUAAGGGCCUCCAACUGAGUAGGGCCUUGAAGAAAAGGGACUGAGUGGUUUUAUGGCCUACCUGAGCUGAGGUAAAGAUAAUCAGCUCUUGUGCUUUCAGGGCUUGCUCUGGUCUCUUAGGAAGUAGCCAGGGAUGUGUUGCUAGAGGCAGGAUGCUUGACUUGAUGGGUCCAUCCACUGUUUUAUUAGUUGUAUUACACUGUAGCCUGUGCUAGGGUUUGUACAGACACUUUAUUAGAGACCAUCCCUGUCCCAAAGAUUUUUGUUGGUUUUGUCUACUUAGGUUAUAAAGGAUGGAAAAGAGGAAGUAUCAGCAUUGCAGAUGGGAAACUGAGGUACAGAGAGCUGAAGACUGAAAUUUUCAAAGGAGCCAGUGGAGUUAGGUACCCAAAUCUGAGAUUUAAAAGGAUUUGUUUGAAGUCACCCAGGGAGUCUGUGGCAGAGCUGAGAACUGAGCCCAGAUGUCCCAGUCCAGAACCCUCACCACACAACUGUCCCUGUGCUUGAGGCACUUUUUAAUCCUUCACUUUCUAUGGCAAGACCUAUGUUCCUAUGUCUCAGACUCCGGAAAUAUUGGGGAUAAGGUCCUCGUUCUUGUGGCACAAUGAGUGUCCCUUGGACAGACACUUAGUAUUGGGGGAAGUGCGCUACUGUAUGAGACAGCCCAUAAUUGGAUGCAUGGGGGCUAUCUUGAGGAUGAGUGUGAAGGGGAGACACAGCCUACAAGAAGUUUCUUCUCAGACCCAUGAGACCCCUCUUUUUGCCAUUGGUGAUGUUGCAGCUGGAUUUGAGGGUGUGGGUGGGGUCUGCCAUGAUGAACUGUAUGUUCAGUCGAUCUUUCAUCUGAUCCACCCUGAUGCCACAUGUGCCCUCAGCAGACCCCACUACACCAAGGAAGGAGAGAAGCAUUAACUCCCUGUGUGGCUUCCAUUUCAGGCCUGCAGUGAAAUCUGGGCAUUUCCCAUAGUACAUGGAGUCAAGGUUUAAGACCAUUAUAGCCAUCUAGUCUGACUUCCUGCAUUGUACAGGGCAUAGAACAUAAGCUAGUAACCCCCACUAUGACUCCCUGACUCCUUCUCCUUUCUAAAACUCAGCCGUUCUCCCCGCAUGGUCCUUUAAAAUAGUUCCCUGCACUAGCUCUCGCUUCACAGCAUCUCCAGGUAACUUCACUGUGCCAUUUCCUUGUCUGUAACUGCUGUGCCCUUAGCAGCUGCUCAGAUGGCCAUAUUGAAAAACCAGAUCUUUGUACGCCAGAAGGAACCGUUAGAUUGCCUAGUCUGAUCUCCAGUUUAAUACUGGUCAGAGAAUUCAGUCUGGAUUGGAAGACAGCAAGGAAUGGAGGAGCAUCCACCGUCCCUUGGGAGUUUGUUCAUUCACCCUCACUGUUAGAAAUGUGGGCUUUAUUUCUAAUUUGAAUGUGCCUGGCUUUAACUUCCAGCCAUUGGUUCUUGUUCUGCCUUUCUCCACUAGAUUAAAGAGACCUAUAGGACCCUGUAUUUUCUCCCCAUGAAGGUACUUGUACCCUGUAAUCAGGUCACCUCUCUCAAGCUUCCUUUUCUUGAUUUAAACUAAACAGAUGGAAGAUCUUAAAUCUCACUAUCAGGCAUUUUCUCCAGCCCUUGAAUCACUUUUAUGGUUCAUUUCUGAACCCUCUCCAGUUUUUCAAUGUCCUUUUUAAAAUCUGUACACCAGAACUGGAUGUGGUAUUCCAGUAUCAGACUCACCAGUGCCAUAUACAGGGGUAAAAUCACCUCCCUGCUUCUAGUAGCUAAUCCCCUGUUUAUGCAUGUAGGGAUUUUAUCUGUCUUUCAGGUGAAGUUGGGAAGCCAGGGAGUCCAUGUUGCAAUGUGAGGAAGUUGGGGGCAAGAACUCUGAAGACAAGAUUGGCUGGUUUUGCUUCUCCCUCCUCACCCUGGAUCCCUUAUAGGAAUCACAGAUGGAUGAUUUGAGAUGAGCCUUAAAGGAAAGGAAAAUGUAUCUUUCUCUCCACCAGCAUCAACUGUAAGAGAGAAUUUGGGGCCUGAAGAUUAAAAGAUUUGCCCCAUCUCCGAUCUGCAUUACAAAGACUCUGAAGUUAUGUCCAGGAAAGGCUAUACUAAAAACAGGAUAGAUAAUAAAACUAGAUUGAAUGGAUGUGUAAAA